UGCCAGCAGCCGCGGUAAUACAGAGACUCCAAGCGUUAUUCGGAUUCACUGGGCGUAAAGGGUGCGCAGGCGGCCAGGUGUGUCAGAGGUGAAAUACUGCAGCUUAACUGUAGAACUGCCUUUGAAACUACCUGGCUAGAGUAUCGGAGAGGCAAGCGGAAUUCCAGGUGUAGCAGUGAAAUGCGUAGAUAUCUGGAGGAACACCAAUGGCGAAGGCAGCUUGCUGGACGAUUACUGACGCUCAGGCACGAAAGCAUGGGGAGCGAAAGGGAUUAGAUA
rnacentral:rRNA from 1 species